ACAAAUUCACGGGAUAUUCAGAAAGAGAUCAAAGAUCUUGAAUAUCCUAUAAACUCAUGGGUAUUCGUAAAAAGAUCAACCAUUUUCAAGAUCUGAAAAGUCCCGAUAAAUUCAUGGGAUAUUCAUAAAGAUCAAAACCAUCUCUUCUUGAUAAUCAAAUACAUCGAGAAGACAAACCCUCCUUUCAUGGAGAUCAAAUCCAAAUGUUCCUACGUUCGAGAAAUAUGCUACUAAUGACCCUCAAAUUACGGAGAAAUACAUAUCUAAAUCUUC
rnacentral:lncRNA from 1 species